ensembl:lncRNA
UGGUUCGAUCCCUGCGUGGGGAAGAUCCGCUGGAGGAGGAAAUGGCAACCCCUUCCAGUAUUCUUGCCUGGGAAAUCCCAUGGACAGAGGAACCUAACGGGCAAAAGAAAGAAAUAUGACUUAAUCACUAAACAACAACCAGUAGAUGGAAGCUAAACAAACAGCUUUUCUUCAGUCCUUUCCCCAUGUUCAGGACCCUCACACAGCCCAACCAAACUACAUGCCAUAUUUAGGAUUUUUUUUUAUGGCUGUCCUUAAAUUUUUUAUAAAGUAUAUUCACUUUUCUCUUUAACUUGCUAUCACAAACCAGUAGAUAGGGAUCUAACGCUAUUUUAUUUUAAUUUUUUGUGGGAGAGGGGGCUAGGUCAUAGAUACACAUAUAGGAAAUCUUCAAACAGUGGUACAGUCAGUAAAAUGUUCUGUCUCAUACCAUCUCGCAGUCCUUUUGCCCAGAUAUAACCAUAAUUUUCUCCUCUAACCAUCCAGAUACAGUGUAUAUAGCUAUGUCUGUGUAUGUGUACAGUUCCAAGAGGGAAGUCCCCAAGCAGGAACUGAAGCUGAUAAAUUGCAUCUGGAUCUACUGAAAAGAGAUUUAAAUUUAUACUGGAGAAAGAUAAACCAGUGAUGAAUUCUUAGAAAUUAAACAAACAAGAGAAAUUUACCAUUUAGAUGAUCCAAAGAAAAAAAUGAGAAAGAAAAUGUAAUCAUAAUAUCUGGAUCAGACUCACGUCCUAGAAUGGUAAACAUCUAUAUAAUAAAACAAUAGUCAUUGACUUUCAAUUUAUCCUAUUAUAUAAUUAUAUUGGGGGAAAGGGAAUUACAUUUUAACAUAGCAAGAAAACUACAUGCUAAUUUUCUCAGAGAAGAAUAUUAUUAGAAAAAAAAUCAAAAGCUGAAAAAUGAAAAAGCCAUAUAAGUAGCUAAUUUAGAAAUACAGAAUUACAACCAGAAAAACGAAGAAGUUCUUUAUGGAAAUCGGAAUAAAGACUGGACUAUGUGUGGAAAUUGAAAGAAGAAAAGAGGAAGACAG